GGUGGACGUCCAAUCGGAACAAACAGGCAGAGAGGCCGGCUAUCAAUGCCUCCUGUAGAGUUUUUGAUAUAAUGAAGGACGCCGGGGUUGGCUUUCAGUCUGCCAACACAAAACACCAUUCACAGCCUACAGCUACCUCCCUUGGAAUCGGCCCGGCGGCACGGGAGCGCAGAGACAACAAGAUUACCUAGGAAACGUGAUCUUAAGAGCACCAAAGAAUAGAACAGCUUCCUUUCGGAGUUCAUGGAAGAUCGCCUGACAGCCGUAAAGAAUGACUUGCCUUCAUGAGCAAUCCAGCAGAGAUGAAUCCACAGCUGCUGUUUGGGAUUGUAUGGGGGAAGUGUGAGCAUAGCACUGGUUUUAGGAAGGCGUGUCACCGGGACACAUGUGACACGUCACCCAUGGCAACAGGCGGCCGACCUCCAGGGGGCAGAGCACCUGACAUUCCCCCAGGGGGAGCCCUCCGAAGGGCUCCACAUCCGGGGAUGCUUGGGGA